rnacentral:tRNA from 3 species
GGAGAGGUGGCAGAGCGGUUGAUUGCACCGGUCUUGAAAACCGGCAGGGGUUCACGCCCCUCGUGGGUUCGAAUCCCACCCUCUCCGCCA